GACAGAGGGUGCAAACGUUGUUCGGAAUUACUGGGCGUAAAGCGUGUGUAGGCGGCUUUGUAAGUCGGAUGUGAAAGCCCCGGGCUCAACCCGGGAAGUGCACUCGAUACUGCGAAGCUUGAGUACUGGAGAGGUUGGUGGAAUUCUCGGUGUAGAGGUGAAAUUCGUAGAUAUCGAGAGGAACACCGGUGGCGAAGGCGGCCAACUGGACAGAUACUGACGCUGAGACACGAAAGCGUGGGGAGCAAACAGGA
rnacentral:rRNA from 1 species